rnacentral:piRNA from 1 species
UGUUGAAAAAUUAUAUUACUU